UACGUAGGGUGCAAGCGUUGUCCGGAAUUAUUGGGCGUAAAGAGCUCGUAGGCGGUUUGUCGCGUCUGCUGUGAAAACUCAGGGCUUAACUCUGAGCUUGCAGUGGGUACGGGCAGACUAGAGUGCGGUAGGGGAGACUGGAAUUCCUGGUGUAGCGGUGAAAUGCGCAGAUAUCAGGAGGAACACCGGUGGCGAAGGCAGGUCUCUGGGCCAUAACUGACGCUGAGAAGCGAAAGCAUGGGGAGCGAACAGG
rnacentral:rRNA from 1 species